CCUACGGGUGGCAGCAGUGAGGAAUAUUGGUCAAUGGUCGAGAGUCUGAACCAGCCAAGUAGCGUGAAGGAUGACUGCCCUAUGGGUUGUAAACUUCUUUUAUAAAGGAAUAAAGUGAGGCACGUGUGCCUUGUUGUAUGUACUUUAUGAAUAAGGAUCGGCUAACUCCGGGCCAGCAGCCGCGGUAAUACGGAGGAUCCGAGCGUUAUCCGGAUUUAUUGGGUUUAAAGGGAGCGUAGAUGGGUUGUUAAGUCAGUGGUGAAAGUUGUGGGCUCAACCGUAAAAGUGCAAUUGAUACUGGCAGUCUUGAGUACAGUUGAGGUAGGCGGAAUUCGUGGUGUAGCGGUGAAAUGCUUAGAUAUCACGAAGAACUCCGAUUGCGAAGGCAGCUUACUAAACUGCCACUGACAUUGAUGCUCGAAAGUGUGGGUAUCAAACAGGAUUAGAUACCCUUGUAGUC
rnacentral:rRNA from 1 species